rnacentral:rRNA from 1 species
AUUGAACGCUGGCGGCAGGCCUAACACAUGCAAGUCGAGCGAGCGGCGGACGGGUGCGUAAUGUCUGGGAGACUGCCUGAUGGAGGGGGAUAACUACUGGAAACGGUAGCUAAUACCGCAUACCCUCUGAUGUGCCCAGAUGGGAUUAGCUAGUAGGUGGGGGAACGGCUAACCUAGGCGACGAGCCCUAGCUGGUCUGAGAGGAUGACCAGCCACACUGGAACUGAGACACGGUCCAGACUCCUACGGGAGGCAGCAGUGGGGAAUAUUGCACAAUGGGCGCAAGCCUGAUGCAGCCAUGCCGCGUGUGUGAAGAAGGCCUUCGGGUUGUAAAGCACUUUCAGCGGGGAGGCGUUACCCGCAGAAGAAGCACCGGCUAACUCCGUGCCAGCAGCCGCGGUAAUUC